rnacentral:rRNA from 1 species
UACGUAGGGGGCAAGCGUUAUCCGGAUUUACUGGGUGUAAAGGGAGCGUAGACGGCGAUGCAAGCCAGAUGUGAAAGCCCGGGGCUCAACCCCGGGACUGCAUUUGGAACUGUAUAGCUAGAGUGUCGGAGAGGCAGGCGGAAUUCCUAGUGUAGCGGUGAAAUGCGUAGAUAUACGGAGGAACACCAGUGGCGAAGGCGGAUUGCUGGACAGUAACUGACGCUGAGGCGCGAAAGCGUGGGGAGCAAACAGG